rnacentral:tRNA from 1 species
GGAGGGGUUCCCGAGUGGCUAAAGGGAGCAGACUGUAAAUCUGCCGGCUGUCGCCUUCGUAGGUUCGAAUCCUACCCCCUCCACCA